AGUCGAGCGGUAGAGAGGUGCUUGCUUCUCUUGAGAGCGGCGGACGGGUGAGUAAUGCCUAGGAAUCUGCCUGGUAGUGGGGGAUAACGCUCGGAAACGGACGCUAAUACCGCAUACGUCCUACGGGAGAAAGCAGGGGACCUUCGGGCCUUGCGCUAUCAGAUGAGCCUAGGUCGGAUUAGCUAGUUGGUGAGGUAAUGGCUCACCAAGGCGACGAUCCGUAACUGGUCUGAGAGGAUGAUCAGUCACACUGGAACUGAGACACGGUCCAGACUCCUACGGGAGGCAGCAGUGGGGAAUAUUGGACAAUGGGCGAAAGCCUGAUCCAGCCAUGCCGCGUGUGUGAAGAAGGUCUUCGGAUUGUAAAGCACUUUAAGUUGGGAGGAAGGGCAUUAAACUAAUACGUUGGUGUUUUGACGUUACCGACAGAAUAAGCACCGGCUAACUCUGUGCCAGCAGCCGCGGUAAUACAGAGGGUGCAAGCGUUAAUCGGAAUUACUGGGCGUAAAGCGCGCGUAGGUGGUUAGUUAAGUUGGAUGUGAAAUCCCCGGGCUCAACCUGGGAACUGCAUUCAAAACUGACUAACUAGAGUAUGGUAGAGGGUGGUGGAAUUUCCUGUGUAGCGGUGAAAU
rnacentral:rRNA from 1 species